UACGGAGGGGACUAGCGUUGUUCGGAAUUACUGGGCGUAAAGCGCACGUAGGCGGAUUUGUAAGUCAGGGGUGAAAUCCCGGGGCUCAACCUCGGAACUGCCUUUGAUACUGCAAAUCUCGAGUCCGGAAGAGGUGAGUGGAAUUCCUAGUGUAGAGGUGAAAUUCGUAGAUAUUAGGGAAGAACACCAGUGGCGAAGGCGGCUCACUGGUCCGGUACUGACGCUGAGGUGCGAAAGCGUGGGGAGCAAACAGG
rnacentral:rRNA from 1 species